rnacentral:misc_RNA from 1 species
GCAAAAAGGGGACGGCCCCAAAUUUCAACUUAAUAAGCCACAACCCGAACCAUCAUCAUCCGUCCGCUCCCCAAUAGAAACCUGCCUGAGAAUAUAUCUCUAUUUAGUUGAUGCAGAAGGUUUCUGAAUUUGGAAUGAUAAAGACUUCAGUUCCACCUUUCAAAGCAUUUCAAUUUCCAUCUUGUAAGAUUACUGGGUUUAGGCAUUUAAAGUGCAACGCAUCCAAAAUGGAACUCACUCUAACACGUCCCGACGAUUGGCAUCUUCACCUUCGCGACAAUGAACUUCUCGAAGCUGUUGUCUCUCACAGUGCCAAUCAUUUUGGAAGGGCGAUCGUUAUGCCAAAUUUGAAACCUCCCAUUACCACUACUGCUGCUGCUGUUGCUUACCGAGAAUCUAUAUUGAAAGCACU